ACUUGCCCUCAGCCUGAGUCGGCGGCGGCUGCGGGAACUUUCCCAGCGGAUCUAAUGGCUGCGCGCGGGCCGCUGUGAGGCGCGGCGGCGAGCGACGGGCGCGGGGCCGCGGAGCAGCGAGCGAGCGAGCGAGCGCGAGGCCGGAGCCCCGGCCAGGCCCGGCCGACCCGCCGAGCCCGCGAUGCGCCCCGGGGCCGCCCCCCGGCGCAGCUGACGCCCCGCGGCCCCGCGAAGACCCCGGCCGGCCGGUCCCGGAGGAAGCGGCCGCCGCCGCCGCCGCCCAGCCCAGCGCCCGCGCCGCCCGGGCACCAUGGCGGGGAAGGCGGCCGCCCCGGGCACCGCGGUGCUGCUGGUCACGGCCAACGUGGGCUCGCUCUUCGACGACCCAGAAAACCUGCAGAAGAACUGGCUUCGGGAAUUUUACCAGGUCGUGCACACACACAAGCCGCACUUCAUGGCCUUGCACUGUCAGGAGUUUGGAGGGAAGAACUACGAGGCCUCCAUGUCCCACGUGGACAAGUUCGUCAAAGAACUAUUGUCGAGUGAUGCGAUGAAAGAAUAUAACAGGGCUCGAGUCUACCUGGAUGAAAACUACAAAUCCCAGGAGCACUUCACGGCACUAGGAAGCUUUUAUUUUCUUCAUGAGUCCUUAAAAAACAUCUACCAGUUUGACUUUAAAGCUAAGAAGUAUAGAAAGGUCGCUGGCAAAGAGAUCUACUCGGAUACCUUAGAGAGCACGCCCAUGCUGGAGAAGGAGAAGUUUCCGCAGGACUACUUCCCCGAGUGCAAAUGGUCAAGAAAAGGCUUCAUCCGGACGAGGUGGUGCAUUGCAGACUGUGCCUUUGACUUGGUGAAUAUCCAUCUUUUCCAUGAUGCUUCCAAUCUGGUCGCCUGGGAAACAAGCCCUUCCGUGUACUCGGGAAUCCGGCACAAGGCACUGGGCUACGUGCUGGACAGAAUCAUUGAUCAGCGAUUCGAGAAGGUUUCCUACUUUGUAUUUGGUGAUUUCAACUUCCGGCUGGAUUCCAAGUCCGUCGUGGAGACGCUCUGCACAAAAGCCACCAUGCAGACGGUCCGGGCCGCCGACACCAAUGAAGUGGUGAAGCUCAUAUUUCGUGAGUCGGACAACGACCGGAAGGUUAUGCUCCAGUUAGAAAAGAAACUCUUCGACUACUUCAACCAGGAGGUUUUCCGAGACAACAACGGCACCGCGGUGGGAAGACCCGUGGGGUAAAGACCGCGUGUUUGGAGUGUCUGGCACAGUGCCGACGUGGGAGCAGCACGGUGAGCCCGUGUCCAAUGAGGAUGGAGGCAGGCCCAGGCCAGGACACCUCUGUCAGGAGACAGCCUCACGAGUAUGUUCAGAUGCGCAGGUACUUACAGUGUGUUACGCCACCUGCGGUGGUCGGUGGCCUGCUGUGCGGGUCUGCAGCCCUGGAGCCACGGGCCUCCCACUGUACAGCCCAGGCGUGGAGCGUACACGCGCUGUGAUGUCCCACAGCGAAAUCGCCUAAGGGUGCGUUUCUCAGACCGUAUCCCCGUCGUUCCGUGACACGUGACUGUGUGUGUGCAGAACCCUUGCCAAACAGCCUGGAAGGAUGACUUGGUGGCUAUUGAGGGCUGGACCACAGCGGAGCAGAGAGGCUGGAAAGCCGAGCCCCACAGCCCGGCACCAUGGCGUGGGUCCCCGGCCGACCCCACAGGCCAGUGCGAUGUCGUGGGUCCCUGGCUGACCCCACAGCCCAGCACCAUGGCGUGGGUGCCCGGCCGACCCCACAGGCCAGUGCGAUGUCGUGGGUCCCUGGCUGACCCCACAACACAGUGCCGUGGUGUGGGUCCCCGGCUGACCCCACAGGCCAGUGCGAUGUCGUGGGUCCUUGGCUGACCCCACAGCCCAGCACCAUGGCGUGGGUGCCCGGCCGACCCCACAGGCCAGUGCAAUGUUGUGGGUCUCUGGCUGACCCCACAACACAGUGCCGUGGUGUGGGUCCCUGGCUGACCCCACAGGCCAGUGUGAUGUCGUGGGUCCUUGGCUGACCCCAUAGCCCGGCACCAUGGCGUGGGUCCCCGGCCGACCCCACAGGCCAGUGCGAUGUUGUGGGUCCCUGGCUGACCCCACACCCAUAGCCCGGCACCAUGGCGUGGGUCCCCGGCCGACCCCACAGGCCAGUGCGAUGUCGUGGGUCCCUGGCUGACCCCACAGCCCGGCACCAUGGCGUGGGUCCCCGGCCGACCCCACAGGCCAGUGCGAUGUUGUGGGUCCCUGGCUGACCCCACACCCAUAGCCCGGCACCAUGGCGUGGGUCCCCGGCCGACCCCACAGGCCAGUGCAAUGUUGUGGGUCCCUGGCUGACCCCACAACACAGUGCCGUGGUGUGGGUCCUUGGCUGACCCCACAGGCCAGUGCGAUGUCGUGGGUCCUUGGCUGACCCCACAGCCCAGCACCAUGGCGUGGGUGCCCGGCCGACCCCACAGCCCAGUGCCAUGACCUGAGUCCCCAGCUGACCCUAUGGGCCAGUGCAAUGUCGUUGGGUCCCCAGCUGACCCCAUGGGCCAGUGCGAUGAUGUGGGUCCCCAGCUGACCCGACAGCACAGCACCAUGGAAUGGGUCCCCAGCUGACCCCAGCUCGGCUGUUUUCCUAUUGUCAUGGACUGUCUUAUCUAUGGGCAGGUGCUGAGGAAGGACCCCCAGAGCUGCUGAAAAGCCUUAGACCGUCCUUUGUCUCCUCUCAUGAGGAGCACAAGGCUGGGAGCUGCCAUCUGUGGAUGUGGCCCACGUGGGGUCUCCUGUGGCUGUGGGACUCUCCCACGGUGUCCGGCGGCCCUGUCUCCUGAGCGUCGGGUUUCGUCAGUUGGAUUCAGACCCGCGUUCCUCCUGAAAAGGAUCGGAAAGCUGGGUUUUUAAUUUUUCUGCCAUCACGUUUCCCUGUCAAUGCAAAUCAUUGGUUCAGCCAACAGUGAUAUUGAACUCUGUUUACAUUUAGGGCGAGGAGUUGCAGAGACUUUUCUCCCCGAAGGCGGAGUUCUGAUUUCCAGAGCACUGUGCAUGGUAUGCUUCUGACUGAGGCCCUGAGUGUGCAGCAGGUCAGCGUGGCCCAGGCCUCAGUGAGGCCAUGCCCGUCCACACGCUCAGAGCCCCCAGGGACCAACAGUGUCCUUAGGGGGACAGGAAGUCCCCAGGCCCCUCAGUGCCAGCUUGGAUGCACCAGGGAAGACCCCCGGGGUAGUGAGGGGUCCUCAGAAUCCUGAUCUGGGCAAAGGUCUCUCCACCCACGAGUGUACAGAGGAGGGUCGGGGAUCUUAUCCCCUGAGGCGCCUCAUGCCAGACAGAAGCUGUGGCCACACUCCGUGGCUUCUGCCUCAGGAACUUGCAAAGGGUGCACAGGCCUGGAAUGGUUCAGAAACACCUCAGCCUGGGAUUUCCGGCUUCCAGAACCUGCACCAACAGGCGUUAGGGGCUGCCUGGGGCUUCGCUCGCUGCUGUGCUGUGGUAGCCGGAGGGGCCCAGCAUCGGAAGUUCCAGUAGGUGGGGCUCCACGUCAGGGUGUGUCCCCAGGCACCCCCAUUCCUGCUAACAUCGAAGCUCUCGGGAAGGGAGGUGGUGGGGGGCUCUCGGGGGUCCGGCUACAGUGAACAGUCUGUGUUCUAUGGCCCGGCGCCCUCCUCACCCUGCAGGAGCCCCGGCCGUAAGCAUCAGUGACCCCCUCACCCUGCAGGAGCCCCGGCCCCAUGCCCACGCCAGCCCAUGGAGGUAGCCCUGGCGUCCUCAGAGCCCCCCGGCCCUGUUCAGAGUCCCCUGGGCCUGUUCUCCCUCUUCUUGUUCACGUGCCCCUUGAUGCGCAGUCCCGUGCUCACUGUGCCCGGUGCAUUCACCAGGCUGGGGACACUCACUCAGGGCUGCGGCCUCACGACUUCGGUGCUCAGCCACGCAGCACCGUGCUCACAGACCCCACGCCGUGGACCCUGGCGGCCAGAGGCAGGGAUGACCCACCCUGGGCGAUAGCCACACCGUGCAGGAAGCCCGGUGCUCUGCUCUCUGAAGCUAAACGAAUUCAUGUCGGCCAAGAGCUCCAGCUACUCGUUCCCUCUGCUCACAUGCCCAGCCUCUCUGCAGCACCUGCUGCUUCUAGGAGGUGGAGCAGCCCCAGCAGCCCCAGGCCCUCAAAGGCCUACGUGGUAAGGCACAGCCCGGGCCUGGCUGCAGCCCAGACAGGCACAGGGCCAGCACCGAGGACUGGGGGUGCUGAGGACUUGAGGGGUGCUGGUGGUUGCUGGAGGCAGAGCCAGGGUCGGACGCUGUGCCGCACGCCUGCGAGGGGCGAUGGUCCUUCUGGGCUCCAGAGCUCCCUGAGUGCUCCAUGAGAGCUGUGGGCCCGCUGUGAGCAGAGCCCUCAUUGCAAGAGGCCAUCUGUGCCCCUGCACUUUGGUGCUGUCCAGGACUGCGUCCCCCACAGCUGUGAAAGCUCUGGGGUCACUGCAGAAGGUUGGAGGAAUGCUGAUCCGGGACAACUUCAUUAAGGACGUGGCAUCGGAGGGCCCCACACAGCAGAGCUGUCAUUCUGGCUCACCUGAGCGGGAGCUUUGCUGAGGACUCUCCUUUCCUCUGUGCCCAUCUCUGGUACGGGGUGACUGUGGCGCAGCGUGUGCUUCCUCAUGACGCCCGGGCCCCUCUCUCCCAUGGCCCAGGUCAAGGCAGGAGGACGCUCGGUUUCCCAUCUGCACAGCUGGGCCUGUCCUUCCUGGGCGGUCCUUUGUCCACUGUCUUCCUGAGGGGAGUUUGAGGAGAAGCCCCAGGUCUAACUCUGUGGCAGACAGGCCCACCGCCCUGCAUCUCGGGACACAGCAGGCAGUGUUUCCACUGUAAACGCGGGGAGAGGGACCCACUUUCAGAGAAAGAAUUUGGCAUCUGGUGAGAGCAUCUCGUUUCCAGGGGGAAUUUCAGAAAGAGUUUGCAUCCGCAUAAUAUAAAUACACACUUGGCAAAAGCAAAACACAAAGCCAGGCUCUUUGGAUUCUUAGACUAAAAAUGUGCUGGGACCGCCAGGCUUCGUGCCACGUCUGGUUCGACCUCGACUCCCUGGUGUGCUCUGCAGAGGUCAUGGCGUCUUCGGGUGCCACAUGCCCGUCUCUGGGUGGCACGGGCCCCUGAGACUUCUAUGAACUUGCAUCUCCAGCUUUUCAAGUUUUACUGGAGUGUCAUUGAGGCAGUAACUUGAUGUGAGAAAGAAAGCAAAUGCCUAGAUUGUCUGGAGACCACACGCUGGGAACAGGAAAGGCACUGCAGUGCACUGUGGGGGCAUGUGUUCAUUUGACAGCACUCUGGGUGCCUGCUCUGAGCCAGGCCCUGCUCUGGGUUAACAAGACAGACAGACACAUCCCUGCCAUGGAGCUCUGGGGGUGGCAGGGGACAGCAUGGUGGGGAGGAGCCUGGGAAUAGUGUGCUCAGCAGGUGAGCAGCACCUGUGGGGGAGGAGCCUGGGGGUGCCACGAGGAAGCUUGCUGAGGAUGGCAUGGCUGGUGGGGGACAGCACGGUGGGGCGGAGCCUGGGGGUGCCAUGCGGAGGCUUGCUGAGAAGAGCCAUAAACAGUCACCCUGGGUGACUCCAAGCUGUGGGAGGCCAGUGCGGUGCAGGGACCCAGUCGGUCACUUUGGAGGGCAGGUCCACAUUCAUUGUCACAACUAAAAAAAUUCCCAAAAAUCAAGACCCACCAAAGACGAUCUUACAGUUGCAAACUGUGAACCACGUAAGGACACAUUCCACAGAUAGCAAGAGUCCAGAAAUACAACAAAGGCAGGACAGACCGUCAAUAAUGCCAAAUCAUCGAAUAAUUGAUACAAAUUAUAAUAUUGUAAAUUAUUAAAAGCAUGACAGAAUUAGAAACAUAAGUACCACACUAUGAAAAAAAUCCCAACAGAUAAAAAAAAGUAGGACUCAUAGAAGUAUUAUCAUUAAAAUUAAAAGCUCCAGGGAUGAAUUAAGUGCCGGAGUAGACACAGCUGGAGAAGGGAUUGAGGAAUGGGAUGGCAGGCCUGGGGAAUGGCCCAGAAUGCAGCACAGAAACGUGGCAGGAUGGGACAGGAGGGUCGGGGCUGGGAGAGGAGGGAAGAGCCCAGCGCUUGCGCAGUGAGGGUCCACGAGGGGCACACUGGAGAGUCAAUGGCUGGGCGUUUUCCAGAAUUAUCCAAGACAUAAACCUCAGGAAGCAUGGUGAGUCCUGAGCAGGAGGAAUGGAAGUAAAUCCACACACAGACAUGUCAGAGUGAAACAGCGGAACAUCAAAGACGAAGAGAAUAUUUUUGAAGCAUUGUGGGAAAAAUGUCCUAUUACAUAAGAAUGCAAGUGGCGGCGGGUUUCCAGAACAACCACAAAAAUACACACCAGGAGAAGUGGAGGCGUUCAGUCAAAGAGCUGGUGGAAAACCCCACCCACACACUUAGAGUUCUCUCAGCAGCCAAGUCAGCCUUCAGAACACUGGCCACCAUAAAGACAGUACCUGGCGAUGGAGAGACACAGCCCCACCAGCAGGUCCCACAGAGAACCAGGAGUAGCUGAGCUUCUGGAGCAGGGUGGGAUGAAGAAGGAAGAAGAACAUUUGUGUAAAGCUUAAAAACAUGUAGGCUGAGGCGAGCUGCUUUUUGUGGACUCAUGCAUGGCGGUAAUAUAGAAACAUACUUGGGGCUGGGCACGGUAGAACACUUGGGGAGGCCGAGGCAGGAGGAUUGCUUGAGGCCAGUAGUCUCAGACAAGCCAGGGCAAUGUGGCAAGACCCCGUCUCUACAAAAAAUAAAGACUUAGCAGGAGUGGUGGCACACGCCUGUAAUUCCAUCUGCUCGGGAGGCUGAGGCAGGAGAAUCACUUGAGCCCAGGAGGCAGAGGUUGCAGUGAGCCGAGAUCACAUCACUGCACUCCAGCCUGGGUGACAGAGGGAGACUCUGUUUCAAUAAAUAAAUAAAUAACUUAAAAACCA